rnacentral:rRNA from 1 species
GAUGAACGCUGGCGGCGUGCCUAAUACAUGCAAGUCGAGCGAAACUUCUUUAUCACCGAGUGCUUGCACUCACCGAUAAAGAGUUGAGUGGCGAACGGGUGAGUAACACGUGGGCAACCUGCCCAAAAGAGGGGGAUAACACUUGGAAACAGGUGCUAAUACCGCAUAACCAUAGUUACCGCAUGGUAACUAUGUAAAAGGUGGCUAUACUACCGCUUUUGGAUGGGCCCGCGGCGCAUUAGCUAGUUGGUAGGGUAAAGGCUUACCAAGGCAAUGAUGCGUAGCCGAAUUGAGAGGUUGAUCGGCCACAUUGGGACUGAGACACGGCCCAAACUCCUACGGGAGGCAGCAGUAGGGAAUCUUCCACAAUGGGCGAAAGCCUGAUGGAGCAACGCCGCGUGGGUGAAGAAGGUCUUCGGAUCGUAAAACCCUGUUGUUAGAGAAGAAAGUGCGUGAGAGUAACUGUUCACGUUUCGACGGUAUCUAACCAGAAAGCCACUGCUAACUACGUG